AGAGUUUGAUCCUGGCUCAGGAUGAACGCUGGCGGCGUGCUUAACACAUGCAAGUCGAACGGUGAUAGUAAUAUCACAGUGGCGCACGGGUGAGGAACACGUAGCUCAUCUGCCCCGAAGUGUGGGAUAACGCUCCGAAAGGAGUGCUAAUACCGCAUAAGCUCACGGACUGUAGAGGUCUGCGAGAAAAGGCGAAGCUCGUAAGAGCCAGUCGCUUUGGGAGGAGGCUGCGGCCCAUCAGGUAGUUGGUGUGGUAACGGCGCACCAAGCCGACGACGGGUAGGGGACCUGAGAGGGUGACCCCCCACACUGGGACUGAGACACGGCCCAGACUCCUACGGGAGGCGGCAGUGAGGAAUAUUGCCCAAUGGAGGAAACUCUGAGGCAGCGACGCCGCGUGGGUGAAGAAGGCCUUCGGGUCGUAAAGCCCUUUUCUGUGUGACGAGCAAGGACGGUAGCACAGGAAAAAGUCUCGGCUAACUACGUGCCAGCAGCCGCGGUAAAACGUAGGAGGCAUGCGUUAUCCGGAGUUACUGGGCGUAAAGCGUGCGUAGGCGGGUCGGUAAGUGGGUCGUGAAAGCGCCGGGCUAAACCGGGCGAGGACGAACUAGACUGCCGGUCUAGAGGCGGAUAGAGGGGUGCGGAAUUCCGGGUGUAGCGGUGAAAUGUGUAGAGAUCCGGAGGAACACCAGUGGCGCAG
rnacentral:rRNA from 1 species